GACGAACGCUGGCGGCGUGCUUAACACAUGCAAGUCGAACGGAAAGGCCCUGCUUUUGUGGGGUGCUCGAGUGGCGAACGGGUGAGUAACACGUGAGUAACCUGCCCUUGACUUUGGGAUAACUUCAGGAAACUGGGGCUAAUACCGGAUAGGAGCUCCUGCUGCAUGGUGGGGGUUGGAAAGUUUCGGCGGUUGGGGAUGGACUCGCGGCUUAUCAGCUUGUUGGUGGGGUAGUGGCUUACCAAGGCUUUGACGGGUAGCCGGCCUGAGAGGGUGACCGGCCACAUUGGGACUGAGAUACGGCCCAGACUCCUACGGGAGGCAGCAGUGGGGAAUAUUGCACAAUGGGCGGAAGCCUGAUGCAGCAACGCCGCGUGCGGGAUGACGGCCUUCGGGUUGUAAACCGCUUUCGCCUGUGACGAAGCGUGAGUGACGGUAAUGGGUAAAGAAGCACCGGCUAACUACGUGCCAGCAGCCGCGGUGAUACGUAGGGUGCGAGCGUUGUCCGGAUUUAUUGGGCGUAAAGGGCUCGUAGGUGGUUGAUCGCGUCGGAAGUGUAAUCUUGGGGCUUAACCCUGAGCGUGCUUUCGAUACGGGUUGACUUGAGGAAGGUAGGGGAGAAUGGAAUUCCUGGUGGAGCGGUGGAAUGCGCAGAUAUCAGGAGGAACACCAGUGGCGAAGGCGGUUCUCUGGGCCUUUCCUGACGCUGAGGAGCGAAAGCGUGGGGAGCGAACAGGCUUAGAUACCCUGGUAGUCCACGCUGUAAACGGUGGGUACUAGGUGUGGGGUCCAUUCCACGGGUUCCGUGCCGUAGCUAACGCUUUAAGUACCCCGCCUGGGGAGUACGGCCGCAAGGCUAAAACUCAAAGGAAUUGACAGGGCCCCGCACAAGCGGCGGAGCAUGCGGAUUAAUUCGAUGCAACGCGUAGAACCUUACCUGGGUUUGACAUGGAUCGGGAGUGCUCAGAGAUGGGUGUGCCUCUUUUGGGGUCGGUUCACAGGUGGUGCAUGGCUGUCGUCAGCUCGUGUCGCGAGAUGUUGGGUUAAGUCCCGCAACGAGCGCAACCCUUGUUCACUGUUGCCAGCACGUUAUGGUGGGGACUCAGUGGAGACCGCCGGGGUCAACUCGGAGGAAGGUGGGGAUGACGUCAAGUCAUCAUGCCCCUUAUGUCCAGGGCUUCACGCAUGCUACAAUGGCUGGUACAGAGAGUGGCGAGCCUGUGAGGGUGAGCGAAUCUCGGAAAGCCGGUCUCAGUUCGGAUUGGGGUCUGCAACUCGACCUCAUGAAGUCGGAGUCGCUAGUAAUCGCAGAUCAGCAACGCUGCGGUGAAUACGUUCCCGGGGCU
rnacentral:rRNA from 1 species